CCAGUUAUGACAGAUGUCGAUAUGCUUCAAUCUUGGUUGAAUGAAUAGACCACCAGUUAUCAUUCAAGAUUGAAGCGUAUCGACAUCUGUCAUCACUUCAUAC
rnacentral:pre_miRNA from 1 species